UCCUGCCCCGCUGUCAGAGCCGCCCGCCCGCGUGGCAGCGGGGCACGGCGGGCCGUGCGGCGUCUCCUUGUGCUGGCUGCCUUGCUACUGGGAACGACAGCUGCGUCUGUCCAUCCAUCCAUCCAUCCAUCCAUCCAUCCAUCCAUCCAUCCAUCCAUCCAUCCAUCCGUCCAUCCCUGCGUGGGCGCGGCUCGUGUGUGUGUGUGACUGACAGUGAGGCGCGCUCUGCGCGGGGGCAGCGCUCGCUCGCAGCCCGCCCCGGCUGCGGCAGCCACUUCUCCGUGCCCCGGAGCCCUCCCCGCUGGGGACAACCUCAGCGGCCUCGCUGCUCGUCCUCCUCCUCCCUCCUGGCGGGUAGGUUACAUUACCUGGUCUCUAGCUCGGACUGGAUCUAAUCCCGCGGCCGCCGCCGGCUCCUCUCCCGGCCGCGGGGGGCCUUCAUCUUCUGAAACGGGAACUGAAAUUUGGCCAGUCAGCAUCGAGUUACUGAUGAAAAUAUUGGUCACCUCAGCAUUUGCCGUCUUUUUGUCUCCUUAAGGAAAAAAAAAAAAAAAGUUUUGAGAAGUGUGUUGUACGUAUGAUGAACAUAUUUACGAAAGUGACCGCUAAAUUAUCCAGAAAUCCUGUCAUUGAGGCUAAAAUCCUGUUAAGAAAGAGAUAAACAUAAUCAUAUAAUUGCAUAAUUAGAGUCUUUACCAUAAUACCUAUUCUCAUCUAAAGUUUGCACGUUGUGUGCAAUACUUAAGUACUGUGAGGAAACCAGAGUAAUUAUAGUUGUUGACAUUGAGUUGUGAAAUGUGCAAAAGGAAAUGUUAAUCUUUUUUUUUUAAAAAAAAAAAAAAGACUGAUUGCAAGCACUUUGUUAGAGCUUUAUGAACAGGAUCAUUACAGGCAUGUCAGGAGCUGAGACUGUUUUUAUGUAGAGGAGAACUUGGGCUGUAGUUGGGAGUAUUCUAGUUUCCUGAGCUGAUAAUAAAGGAAGGAAAGACUUGAA